rnacentral:lncRNA from 1 species
CGAUGAACAUGAGUUCACAUUCAAGGCUCCGAGCCGGCAGCUCUGGAAUCUAUGGAGGUGCUGCUAUCAUGGAGAUGGAUGUCUUCGAUCACGCUGGCCUACCUGCUCCUGGGGCUGGGGAGUGCCCACCCUGUGACCACGGAUGGCAAAGAGUGCACUGGAGACCAUCCUGCAGCAGUCAAGGUGGACCCUGACUACAUCUGUCUCUGUCCUGAGGAUUGUGGCUUCUAGGUUGACUCGCACUGGUAGUAAAAAUGUCCUAAACAGUGCCCCAGGUAAUGUAAGAGUGGAGGGGAAUGAAAAGUGGAGUCACAAGAUUAGUUAGAAUAAGAAGAGAAAUUUAGGAAAAUGAAGAGGGGAGGGAGAGAGGGGAGAAGGGAGAGGAGGAGGGAAGGGAAGAAGGAAGGAGAGGAAGGAGGGGGAGGAGGGAGGGAGGGGAGGAUGGAAAGGAGGACAGAGAAGAGAGAGGGGAGGA